CCGCCGCUGCCGCCGCGGCUUUGCAAAGUGUCAGCGGGGGCGAAAGCGAGAGUUUAAAGGAACAGGAGGCCCAUUGAAUUUCCUACCGGAGCUUUCAGGGGCUCUGGCUCCCCAGUUUGUUUUUGUUUUUUCAGCUCGGGGAUCUGUUUCCGCGUUAACCCUUGCCGGCCCUCUCGUUAGUUGAUAUCUUAUUUUGCAUACAGUUAAUCAUUUUUGAAAGGGAUAAAUACAAGGAAAAGAAGCAAAGCGCUAUUGGUUAAAAGUACAGGAUCUAGAGCCCGGACAGCCUGGGCUGGAAUUUCACCUCCCCCGCAAUGAGCAGUUUAUCUCCUAGCCUCAGUUAUCCAUCCAUCAAAUGGAGAGAAUUAGAGUAACGCCCUUAUAAGGUGGUUGCAAUGGAUUGGAUGAGUUAACUGUAUAUUUAAUAAAUAUAGAACAUUGCCUACCGCAAAGUACAUGGCUUUGUUUAAGUGUUUACUGAAGCAAAAGUGAGAGAAGACGACUUCAAUCACAUAAUAAAUGUGCAUGUGUUCUAAGUUCAAGGUCCUUUCCACUCCAAGCUCUGAAGAGUCUAUGGAUGCUGUCAAUAGAUGUCUCGGCUUGCCACAAAACCCACUGGAAGUGGAUCCGGAUAAUCAAUCUACCUUUGCAAAUGUGAUGCUCAAAGGACGGCUCUCUCAUGGGAAACAAGAAAGGUUUCCCUUAAUCCAAUACUCAAUUUGCUCUUUAUUUCCAAACAACAGAUAUACACGUAUAAACACAAACAUAUAUCAUGCCUAUACUCUUUAUUAUGCCAGGACCCUGGCUCUUUCCUGAGCUUUCCUCCCAUAGGUUGAUUUCUACUUAGGUAACUGGGUUUUUCUAUUUCUGCUUAACUAGGAGUGUUUAAGUUCUAUGUAAUAUUACAUCCGAAUUUGAGUACCCGGAUAUAUACCUGCUUAAAAUCAAGUUUGAAAACUGAGUCUUCUCAUCAAAACCUGAUUGUGCGGUUGACCCUUGAACAACAGGGGUUUGAACUGCGAGGAUCCGCUUUUGCAUGGAUUUUCUUCCUCCUCUGCCACCCCUAACAGAGCAAGACUAACCCCUCCUCUUCCUCCGCUUCAGCCCACUCAAUGUGAAGACGAUGAGGAUGAAAGCCUUUCUGAUGAUCCACUUCCACUUAAUAAACGGACCUGUCCAAAAUUGGAACUUGGCUAACAGGAUGCUGAAGAAAACAGCAUGCUCACUUGGAAAUGAGAUUCUAUACAUGCUGUAGAAUACUUGGCAUUUAUUAUAAUCUUUUCUUAACUAUUCAGGAAAUAGUUUUUGUCCAUUUUAACAGGAUUUGUUAAAACUUUCUACAAUUGCUGUCAGAUAAAGGGAAAUUGCUAUUAGUGAAAUGCUUUUAUUCAGUCCAAAUAUUAUGACCUUUCCUCUAGGUCUCAGCAUUUCCUCUCCCUCCUCAUUUGGUAAGGCUAAUUUUUUGACCUCUGGUAUGCAAUUACAAGACUCAUUUGUUCGUCUUGGCUGAUCUGCUCUCAGAAUAAACUGUAAUUCUAUUGUACUGUUGAUGGAUAUUCCAGCUUUUUGUUCUUUAUAGUUUUAA
rnacentral:lncRNA from 1 species